UGCAAUAGGGUACAGGUCGUAUAGUUGAUCCUGGCUCACUAUGUCGUAACUUGCUACUUUUGCCGGAGAGCGGCGGACGGGUGAGUAAUGCCUGGGGAUCUGCCCAAGUCGGGAGGGGGAUAAUUUCUACUGGGAAACCGGUUUAGCUUUAAUACCGCAUUAAGGCCCUUUACGGGGGAAAAGCCAGGGGGACCUUUUCGGGCCCUUUGCGCGGAAUGGGAUGAAACCCCAAGUUGGGAUUAAACUUAGUUGGGGAAGGUAAAUGCCUCAACCAAGGGCGACGAUCCCUUAGCUGGUUCUGAAAGGAUGAUUCAGCCACACCUGGAAAUUGAGGACACGGUCCCAGACUCCCUACGGGAAGGCAGCCAGUGGGGAAAUAUUGCACCAAUGGGAGGCCGGAAAACCCUGAUGCAGGCCAUGCCGGCGUGUGUGAAGAAAGCCUUUCGGGUUGUAAAGCACUUUCAGCGAGGAGGAAAAGGUUGGUAGCUAAUAACUGCCAGCUGUGACGUUACUCGCAGAAGAAGCACGGCUAACUCCGUGCCAGCAGCGCGGUAAUACGGAGGGUGCAAGCGUUAAUCGGAAUUACUGGGCGUAAAGCGCACGCAGGCGGUUGGAUAAGUUAGAUGUGAAAGCCCCGGGCUCAACCUGGGAAUUGCAUUUAAAACUGUCCAGCUAGAGUCUUGUAGAGGGGGGUAGAAUUCCAGGUGUAGCGGUGAAAUGCGUAGAGAUCUGGAGGAAUACCGGUGGCGAAGGCGGCCCCCUGGACAAAGACUGACGCUCAGGUGCGAAAGCGUGGGGAGCAAACAGGAUUAGAUACCCUGGUAGUCCACGCCGUAAACGAUGUCGAUUUGGAGGCUGUGUCCUUGAGACGUGGCUUCCGGAGCUAACGCGUUAAAUCGACCGCCUGGGGAGUACGGCCCGCAAGGUUAAAACUCAAAUGAAUUGACGGGGGGCCCGCCACAAGCGGUGGAACCAGUGGUUUAAAUUCGAUGCAACGCCAAAGAACCUUACCUGGCCCUUGACAUUGUCUGGAAAUCCUGCAAAAAAUACGGGAAGUGCCUUUCGGGAAUCAAAACACCAGGUGGCUGCAUGGCCUGUCCUCCACCUCCGGGUCCGUGAGAAUGUUGGGGUUAAAGUCCCCGCAACCGAGCGCCAACCCCCUGUCCCUUUGUUUGCCAGCCACGUAAUGGUGGGAAACUCCAAGGGAAGACUUGCCCGGUGAAUAAACCCGGAGGAAAGGGUGGGGGAAUGAACGUCCAAGUCAUUCAUGGGUCCCUUAACGGGCCAAGGGGCUACACAACCGUUGGCUUACAAUUGGGCCCCUUUACAGAAGGGGCUGUCCAAUAAUGUGAGGCCGAAUUCCCCAAAAAGCGGCCUCUUCGAUAAUUUCUCGGAAUCUGGAAAGUCUGGCCAACUCCCCACCCCCCCGGGAAAGUGCCCGGGAAACUCCCCUAGUAAUUACGCAAAUCAGAAUGUUGCGGUGAAUACGUUCCCGGGCCUUGUACACACCGCCCGUCACACCAUGGGAGUUGUAGCACCGGACGUCGCUCGGUAAGUCGUCACAAGGUCCCCAGUCGUAGAUUUCCCC
rnacentral:rRNA from 1 species